GUUCUUUUGAACAGUUCAUUUCAAAGAACAUGCUGAAGCCGGCUGCGUAAACUGUUUAGAUUCUUACUAAUCUAGCCAAAUUCACUAUCUUCAGAAAGAAGAGACUACAACAGGUGACAGAAGUGUCGCCAACAAAUAUACACACACAUCAGCGUGUGAAACAACGUCUCUGCAAUAUCAAGUCGAGGCUUCUGCAGAAAAUCUCCAUCAUCAU
rnacentral:lncRNA from 1 species